GGGAAUUCUGUGGCUCAGUGGCAAAGCAUCUGCCUUGCGUUCAGAAGGUCCCAGGUUCUAUCCCCAGUGGCAUCCCCA